rnacentral:rRNA from 1 species
UACAGAGGUCUCAAGCGUUGUUUCGGAUUCAUUGGGCGUAAAGGGUGCGUAGGCGGCGCGGUAAGUCGGGUGUGAAAUCUCGGGGCUUAACUCCGAAACUGCAUUCGAUACUGCCGUGCUUGAGGACUGGAGAGGAGACUGGAAUUUACGGUGUAGCGGUGAAAUGCGUAGAUAUCGAUAAGGAAGACCAGUGGCGAAGGCGGGUCUCUGGACAGU